AAUGAAAACAGUAUGUAUUACAUGUCAUCCCUUACAGUGGUAAAAUAAUACAUGUGAUUUUAUUUUACAUUUACAUUACUCUCCCUGUGGUCCAACCGAAAGUUAGAGCAGCGCUCCUUGAACAAGCCGUUUCAAGCGGGAGGGUUAAACAGUAAACAGCGGCAAACACCGGGUGUUUAUCUGCGACCCAGCUGCUCAUUAAUUAUUAUAUGUUAAUUUUCUAAGGGUAAGAAAUACAGUUACACUGAGCACAAUUGGCGAUAGUAUUUAUUCCUUCCCUGUAUCAUAAAAUAUGUGAAGUGCGUCCUAUUAUUAAGAUGGUCAUCAUUGCGCCCGCUGCACCUGUGAAUGUCUGUUUUCCAGAGGCAGGUAAGCCACUGACUAACGCACAUUGCGCUUGUACUGGACUCCACUGUGCGUGUGACAGCGGCUAACCUGCCUCUAGGGUGUCGGUCUCUCUCUCUGCUUCUGGAAUUCGCUCGUGGGACUGGGGGUCACUCAUGAGUCCCUACAGCUGGAGAAAAAAGCCUCUAUUCCCAAGUCCCAGUGCGGACAAACUCAAGCCCCCCCUCCUCCGGGAUCGCCCGACAGCAUCCGCAGGCUUGUGCCUCCAGCUGCGGGGAUCCAGCGAUCACAGAGCGGGGCGCGACUCCGGGUCAAGCCGCACUUCGGUCACCGGGGACAUGAAGCGCACACCACCUGCACUCAAGAGCUGCGGCUUUAAAGAGACAGUUCCGUACAAAAUCCGCCUGAAAAUAAUCUGGCAUUACACUUUAGGACUCAACGAGAGCCCAGAGGAAGCAUCAGCCAUGAGUGUCUGUAAACUGAGGUCAAAGCACAGUGUAAGGAGGGGAGGACAGAGCCAUCAUGCACAUAGCUCAGUCCAGGCUCCAUGUAACAGAGUGUGGCAAUAGAAACAUCAGGAAGGUCUUGUACUGUAUGAGAGGAGGGCAUAUGGCCCACCCAGCCCAUUCUGAGGUAACAGGCUGGAGAAAUAAGAGAUGACAUGCGUCUCAGUUGCAAGCAAAGAGGACAGCUGCCAAAAAAAAUCAAUCCCUUCGUCUGCAUGUCUGAACUGCCCUUGGUCCCAAGCUGGAGAGAUCCAUAUUGCACAGCAUCCAGUAAAGACGGUAGGAAACCCCACCCUUGAGCUGUCAGACCCAGGCAAGAGCUACAUCUGAGUGAGAGGCCGCAGAGCUUCUAAUCUCAUUUAUCUUCAUGGACCAGUGGAAAAUAGGAAACUACAGCUACCUAUGUAUAUGUAGUAAACAUCAAUUUUAACUACUGUACUUUCACUACAUACCUGUCUUUUAAAACACUUUGUUUACAGAUUCAAUGUAAGUUUGAACCUUAUGAUAAUUUGCACAUAUAGAAGAAGUGUUUGUAUGCAUUGUGUGAGUUUUGACACAAUGUAAAAACUAGGUCAGCUUUCUUGAUCUGUUUUGAUAUGCCUGCUGUCAUGUAGACUGACUGAAGGAAUCUCAGUAUAUAUUUCUAGUAAUCGUAGGAGGAGCCUGGAAAGCAAACAGUAACUGGGACAAAAAUGGUCAGAGAAUCGGACAAAGCCACUAAAUUACAUUUUGUUUUCAAUGGGAAGCAUAUACUGUACAACUGCUUUUGCUAAAUACUACUGAGAUCUGCAAGCCCCUCUGUUUGAAUGUGAGAAAUCCAAGCUACUGAUUCUGAAAUGGACUGACAGCUCAAGUAAGAAUGUAUUCAGGCAGCUAGGCACCUGGUUCCAGUCAUAAAUUAAACAUACAAUCCACAUUUGCAGAGCAGUGACUUCAGACUACUAGAUCAGCAGGCUAGACCAUACAAGUCAUGUUCUUUCAGGAUAAAACACUGGGAUUCAUUUUGGAAAGGGUGCAAAGAAUAUGGAAUCAUCCUGAGAAGCCUAAAAAAUAGGAGUGAUAAAGCACAGAUCAAGCAAGUCUUUGUAUGUUUUGCCAAAUGUGCAAACAAAAUCUUACAGAAAGAAUUUCUCACAGCUGCAAAUUAAAGCUUAAUAUUUGGCACAGUUUUUUUAAAACAGAUUGUCUAUGGAUAUACAGAUGAAUAUGCAACAGAAAGAAGCACAAAGCAUCCUCUCUGGGUUGUCAUCUUUAAAAAGAUGUUUAGGUUUCUUUUCAGUAUAUACAUUCUUUGGCAGAAAGAGAACCAAAGGUUCUUUUAUUUAAAAUGAAUUAUUACUUUUUGAGGGAACAAAGCACUGUUAGUUUAUCUCAAGUGGAAAUUCCCACUCUGCGUUAUUACGUUCUAGAUUAAUCAAGCAUGAAAAAAUUCUGCCCCAGUGAAGUGGGGGCAGCUCUGCUGGAAUAGUUAGAAGCCAUUACAAGAGCCCCAAAGAGAAGCCGAGAAGGAGAGGCAGGGAGAGAGGGAGAAAGAGCAGCUGGGAAGCAGAGGCUCCAUCAUGCAGGCAGUAACUGGCGCCUCGGGCCCUGGCCUCCCAGCCCAGGCAUGUUGCAAGCUCAGGCACUGGGGCACUCGCUC